rnacentral:rRNA from 1 species
UACGGAGGGUGCAAGCGUUAUCCGGAUUCACUGGGUUUAAAGGGUGCGUAGGAGGGCAGAUAAGUCAGUGGUGAAAUCUUCGAGCUUAACUCGGAAACUGCCGUUGAUACUAUUUGUCUUGAAUAUUGUGGAGGUAAGCGGAAUAUGUCAUGUAGCGGUGAAAUGCUUAGAUAUGACAUAGAACACCAAUUGCGAAGGCAGCUUACUACACAAUGAUUGACGCUGAGGCACGAAAGCGUGGGGAUCAAACAGG